rnacentral:rRNA from 1 species
UACGUAGGGGGCAAGCGUUGUCCAGAAUUAUUGGGCGUAAAGAGCGUGUAGGCGGUCCGGUAAGUCCGCUGUGAAAGUCCAGGGCUCAACCCUGGAAUGCCGGUGGAUACUGCCGGGCUAGAGUCCGGAAGAGGCGAGUGGAAUUCCUGGUGUAGCGGUGAAAUGCGCAGAUAUCAGGAGGAACACCGAUGGCGAAGGCAGCUCGCUGGGACGGUACUGACGCUGAGACGCGAAAGCGUGGGGAGCAAACAGG